UGUGCUGUGCGGUUAUUUGCGGAAGAUAAGUGAAGGUCUUUGUUGUAUAAGAAAAUUCUAGAAAUACAUCUGCAUGCAUGCAAGUACAAAUAUAUGAGCUUAGCUAAGUGCCAACGCAGCAGAAUUGAAAAGUAUUACGUAACCUUCUUAAUAUUUAAUGGCGAUGCAAAUUGAUUGGAAUUACAAAAUGGAUAACUUCAGGCAUUAAUGAAUAAUAAUAAUAGUAACAUGGGGGUCAAGGAGGUAAUUUUUCAUAUGAAAAAUUGCUUCAAGUCGACUCAUUAUACAUACGUGUAUGUCGUCAGCACAAGAUGGCGGCCCUCCUCGUUUGGUGACCCCUGGGCAACGUUAAUAAUAUUAUUAUUAACGGCAAAAAUGAGCGGCGUUGAGCGGUUAAGCACAACAACUUUUGUUAGAAAGGCGAGACUUCCCUAUCAGGAUUAAUGGUAUAAAGGCUGGCUGUCACUUAGCCCCUGUCUAAGAUGCAGUAUCGUGGAAUUCGAAGAUUUAUUCACUGGAUAUAACUCAUCUUCAAUUUAAACGCGUGCACGAUCAAAGAGCACCCCGCAGCGCCCGGGACAUAGGUUGGAUUUAAAAAUAAAAAUAAAUCUAGUGCUCGUACAUAUCGUGUUACGUGGAUGUUACGUGUGACGUUAUUCUAGCGUAAUCAGCCAAACCAUUUCAUUGUCUGUAUGCUCAUUGUGAAACGCAACGUCUAUUUGGCAGAGUUGCAAUGGGAAUAUCAGCAAGUAUUGCUGAACAUUGUAAUUACGCUAAAUAGUGCUGAAACCUAACGUCUCCGAGUGCUGUAAUGGCGCAUUGCAGUUGGUAGUCAUGCAGGUAUAAUAGACGUAUCUGUGAGGGUAGCAAAAUAAAUCUACGUUGUGAUUCAUUAUUAAUGAGGCCUUAACCGAGUAAACUUUGCAACUUAGUUGCCGAGAUUUUGUUUGAAUGCAGUUCCAAAUGGAAAAUUGCGAGCAUAUAACGGGCCUUCGAAGAGGGCCAAUGCUCGCACAAGCAAAAUUCAUACUAGAUGACUUAUCUGAGAUUAUCUAAUGUUCUGACGUGGAUUCCCCUUCAGAAAUUAGGAAGCGAUCUACAAAAUCGCCUUGAACUUAACGAAUGCUCCCGCUAUUCUAGCUUAAUUAUCCAAGUAUCGAGGAAAACUGUAACCCAUUUUUCUUUCUUGUGUACGUGCCUUUCCUAAUUGUUAACCAUAAUUGAUGUUUAACAGUUACGACGGCACACGUGGAACCUAUACAGGAAGGCAGAAAGCUCUGUCGAAAUUCAAACGACCUCUGUUAUCGGCCAAACGCUGAUGCUGCUUUGCUAUGCAGAGCAAACAAGGAAUCAUCUGAUAGCGAGUGCAAUUUUGCCCAAUAUCUUCAGGACAAAAGGUAUUGGCCAAACGUUGUAACAUCCCAUGCAGAUUGAAUCAAGUAUCCUCUGGUAGUGGAGCUAAUCAGUUGGAGUUUGCCCCAUAGCUUGGGUUGAUAAUAAUUUCGGCAGCCUUAGGUCACAUUCAGCGGUGCUUGCAUAUAUUAAGCAGGGAAUAUUUCGUAAUGCUGACCCAGACAUACAAAGCAAAAAACACUUCGUGACUACACGAUUUCACAAUUGUGAGGUUCGUGCCGAGAGUUUCGCAAUUGUGAAAAUAAAACAUAACAAGCAUUAGAAAAUCCAA